UACGGAGGAUCCAAGCGUUAUCCGGAAUCAUUGGGUUUAAAGGGUCCGUAGGCGGUCUAAUAAGUCAGUGGUGAAAGCCCAUCGCUUAACGAUGGAACGGCCAUUGAUACUGUUAGACUUGAAUUACUGGGAAGUAACUAGAAUAUGUAGUGUAGCGGUGAAAUGCUUAGAUAUUACAUGGAAUACCAAUUGCGAAGGCAGGUUACUAGCAGUGGAUUGACGCUGAUGGACGAAAGCGUGGGGAGCGAACAGG
rnacentral:rRNA from 1 species